GCCAUAAAGAGCCAUCAGAGGGAGAAUAAUCCUGGGGAAGGUGGCGGGACCGGGUCUGCCAGCACCUCCUAAUGUCUUCAGGAUGGAAGGCUAUUUAAAGGGUCUCUGUCAACAGAAGACCCGGUUUCUGGUGUUCGUCUGGAUCCCCCAGCACAGCUGCGGAUGAGUAUAGGAAAGCAAUAAAAGAGGAAAAGAGCGAAAUGAAGAAGUUGGCAGCGGCACACUCGGGGCCUCCCAAUUUAAAAAGCUGAGUACAUUGCAAUUUGGCAGACUCUCUAAAUGGUAAGAUUUCCUUCCACACCCAUCCCCUAGACAUAUUUAGAAAUAGCUGCACUACUGCCAAACCUCUGCUCGUGGUAGCAGGAGGCAGCAAACCCUGCCCCGCUGCUUGGCCGGCUCUGUCUCUGCGCUGGGACGUGCACGGUGCCUCCAAGCAUCCUCGUGGUGCUGCUGAGCAUCCCCACACCGCCCCAGGACAGAGCUGGUGCCACCCCCAAACACUCCCCUGCAUUUACCAGGACCCCACUUCAGCCCCAAUGUUUUAGGAGAAGCACUGCUUUGUUCUCCAGCGGGGCGUGAGGGGAGAUAAAAAGGUUUAAAGAGGAGAUCGAAGGCGAUCUUCCAGCAAAGAGGAACCUGAAGGAAGAUUUCGGGGUGCAAAUGGUGAGAGGCAGAGUGGGUGGCAGCAGGACACAUCCUGCCAUGGGGCUGCACCCUCAUCAAUUUGCAACGGGGAGCAAUUUUACAAGGGUGAGGAGUGACUGUCCCCAUGUCCCGUGCUCUGCUCCAAGGCCUUUCUGCAUUUAACUCCAGCUGCCCCCAGCCAUGCCGGCGUGCUAACGAAGCCGGGCGAAGCCCUGGGAAGCUAUGCAUCUCGGAGUGCCAGCGGGGUUGCAGUUUUGCAAAAAUAGCAGCUUUUUAUAGAAGUUUUUUUGGCGACGGAGGGCGUGGAAAUAUUACAAAUACUUCGGAAGGCAGAGGACAUUCUGUACUGGAGGAGAGACCAUUUAUAAAGAGAGGGGG